AGCGCCGGUAAGGUGAUAUGAACCGUUAUAACCGGCGAUUUCCGAAUGGGGAAACCCAGUGUGAUUCGUCACACUAUCAUUAACUGAAUCCAUAGGUUAAUGAGGCGAACCGGGGGAACUGAAACAUCUAAGUACCCCGAGGAAAAGAAAUCAACCGAGAUUCCCCCAGUAGCGGCGAGCGAACGGGGAGGAGCCCAGAGCCUGAAUCAGCAUGUGUGUUAGUGGAAGCGUCUGGAAAGGCGCGCGAUACAGGGUGACAGCCCCGUACACAAAAGCGCAUGUGCUGUGAGCUCGAUGAGUAGGGCGGGACACGUGGUAUCCUGUCUGAAUAUGGGGGGACCAUCCUCCAAGGCUAAAUACUCCUGACUGACCGAUAGUGAACCAGUACCGUGAGGGAAAGGCGAAAAGAACCCCGGCGAGGGGAGUGAAAAAGAACCUGAAACCGUGUACGUACAAGCAGUGGGAGCACCCUUCGGGGUGUGACUGCGUACCUUUUGUAUAAUGGGUCAGCGACUUAUAUUCUGUAGCAAGGUUAACCGUAUAGGGGAGCCGCAGGGAAACCGAGUCUUAAUUGGGCGUUAAGUUGCAGGGUAUAGACCCGAAACCCGGUGAUCUAGCCAUGGGCAGGUUGAAGGUUGGGUAACACUAACUGGAGGACCGAACCGACUAAUGUUGAAAAAUUAGCGGAUGACCUGUGGCUGGGGGUGAAAGGCCAAUCAAACCGGGAGAUAGCUGGUUCUCCCCGAAAGCUAUUUAGGUAGCGCCUCGUGAAUUCAUCUCCGGGGGUAGAGCACUGUUUCGGCUAGGGGGCCAUCCCGGCUUACCAACCCGAUGCAAACUGCGAAUACCGGAGAAUGUUAUCACGGGAGACACACGGCGGGUGCUAACGUCCGUCGUGAAGAGGGAAACAACCCAGACCGCCAGCUAAGGUCCCAAAGUCAUGGUUAAGUGGGAAACGAUGUGGGAAGGCCCAGACAGCCAGGAUGUUGGCUUAGAAGCAGCCAUCAUUUAAAGAAAGCGUAAUAGCUCACUGGUCGAGUCGGCCUGCGCGGAAGAUGUAACGGGGCUAAACCAUGCACCGAAGCUGCGGCAGCGACACUGUGUGUUGUUGGGUAGGGGAGCGUUCUGUAAGCCUGUGAAGGUGUGUCGUGAGGCAUGCUGGAGGUAUCAGAAGUGCGAAUGCUGACAUAAGUAACGAUAAAGCGGGUGAAAAGCCCGCUCGCCGGAAGACCAAGGGUUCCUGUCCAACGUUAAUCGGGGCAGGGUGAGUCGACCCCUAAGGCGAGGCCGAAAGGCGUAGUCGAUGGGAAACGGGUUAAUAUUCCCGUACUUGGUGUUACUGCGAAGGGGGGACGGAGAAGGCUAUGUUGGCCGGGCGACGGUUGUCCCGGUUUAAGCGUGUAGGUGUGUGUUCCAGGUAAAUCCGGUUCACUUUAACACUGAGGCGUGACGACGAGGCACUACGGUGCUGAAGCAACAAAUGCCCUGCUUCCAGGAAAAGCCUCUAAGCAUCAGGUAACAUCAAAUCGUACCCCAAACCGACACAGGUGGUCAGGUAGAGAAUACCAAGGCGCUUGAGAGAACUCGGGUGAAGGAACUAGGCAAAAUGGUGCCGUAACUUCGGGAGAAGGCACGCUGACACGUAGGUGAAGUGAUUUACUCAUGGAGCUGAAGUCAGUCGAAGAUACCAGCUGGCUGCAACUGUUUAUUAAAAACACAGCACUGUGCAAACACGAAAGUGGACGUAUACGGUGUGACGCCUGCCCGGUGCCGGAAGGUUAAUUGAUGGGGUCAGCGCAAGCGAAGCUCCUGAUCGAAGCCCCGGUAAACGGCGGCCGUAACUAUAACGGUCCUAAGGUAGCGAAAUUCCUUGUCGGGUAAGUUCCGACCUGCACGAAUGGCGUAAUGAUGGCCAGGCUGUCUCCACCCGAGACUCAGUGAAAUUGAACUCGCUGUGAAGAUGCAGUGUACCCGCGGCAAGACGGAAAGACCCCGUGAACCUUUACUAUAGCUUGACACUGAACAUUGAGCCUUGAUGUGUAG
rnacentral:rRNA from 1 species